UCAGGCCUUAGGAGCAAAAAUGCUGAAGGUUCAUGUUCUUUGGGGUGGAGAGGCGAAGGGGUGAUGGGCAGGGCACUGGGGAAGCCCCAGGAGCAGCCGGGCAGAGCCACAGCCCUGCCUCUACACCCCAGGCUGGCCUGGCACCCUGCUUCUGGAACAGUCCGUGGCUGGAGCUGGGCUUGCGGUCUGCCCCAUUUCUGGACUUUUACUGGCUGUCCACAAAUGAAAUUUUUUUGAGCUCACAGGUGUGCUGGCGGCGCACACUGACGGAAUCCCUGACCAGAGAGACAGAGGAGGUCUUCACAAGCCGGGAGCUCCCCACCGCAUAGAAUUGCACCCUGGUCCAGGGGUCAACAGGCCCCUCCUCCUCCAGCCGUGGCUGCUGGGCCAGUGCGCCCUUUGUCAGGGAUGCUGCUGCCCUGGGCUCUGGCCCUCCGGUUGUUAAAACCCGACUCUCAGUCGGCAGGAAAGCGUUCGUGCACCUGUGUGGUGGCCGCAAAGGCAUAGCCCGCAGCCCGGAGUCAAAUGCAUUCGUGGGGUACUGUGCUUGUCCCCGGGGCUGCUGGAACAAAGGGCCACACACUGGCAGCCGAAAUCCCCUCCAUUCUGGGGCCAGAAGUCCAAAGUCCAGGUGUGGGCAGAGCUGUCCCACCUGUGGAAGGAGGCAAGGCCGUCCUGCUUCCUGCGGCGGCUGGGGCUCCGGGCCUCCUGUCUCGGCCUCUGUCUUCACGUGGCUUCCUCCCUCAUGGCUCACUGGCUUAGGGCCCACCCGGAUAACCCCGCGUGGUCUCUAAAUAUAUCUGCACAGGCCCUUCCUUUCUCUGGGGGAGAUCUGAGUUUCAAGAGGCCGUGAUUUGCGGGGGCGGCCUCCCCCCAGCACAGGGGCUCUUCCUAGCUCUCCUAGGGGUCCAGCAGCCACAGCAGGUCAUCGGGAGACCAGCUGUCCUGGAUCCCCGGGGAGGUUUCGCGGCAUGCAGUCGGAGAACGAAGGACAGGACCGCUGCCCCCACGUGGGCAGGCGGGGCUGGCUCGGGUUCUGCUGGGCUGGUGUCCCCGCGCCUCAGCCACCAUGUCCCAUCUGGCUGUCAUGGGCUCUGGGUCCUGGGUCUCUGCCCCUGAAGGAGGUCGCGGGCCACUGUGUGCAGGAGGAGGGACAUCACAGUGUGCGUAUUUCUGGAACCCGAGCACAUCCUCUUGGUGAAAAUGUGUCCUCGGCCGCAGGCUGUCCGAGCCCCACCCCCGCAGUCUCCCUGCUGUGGGAAGUCCGUGCGUGGAGUGAAGGCUGCACUCAGGUAGCAAUGGGGGGGACUCAUGGACCCCCAAGCCACAGCUGGGAUGCCGUGCAGCUCCCCCGCCCCGCAGGCCGCCGAGCGCUGUGGGAGCUCCCUCACCGCCGGCUUCCUGGCCCCGCUCAGAGCGCGCGCGGUCUCCCCGCAGAUGAGCUUUGCCGGGCGCUCCUGUUCACGCUGCUCGACCGUGGGGAACGGCCCUUAACCCAGAUGAGACCAACUGCAGCGAAAAUGACCCUGCGUGGCAGAGGCAGCUGGCACCCAGGGCAGGGGGACGGCCCCUGGCCAGUUCUGGGCGUCUCGGGGCUGCCCAGUGGGCCUCACUUGGGCGGGGAGUCUUCCUCAGACGGGCGGCCCCGCCGGUCUCGGCUGCGUCAGGCUCUGCUCCACAUCCUGGGGACAGGCGUCCCGGUCAGGGCUGGCUGCACGUACGGGACCCUGUCAAAAUUCAAAUUCGGGCCCUCGUACAAAAAUUAGUAAGGCUCUCAGGAGGGCAACAGUGCAGUGUCCAGUAGGGCUCGGGGCCUUCUGGCAGUCCCGAGCGCGCACAGUCCCGACAGCUGUCCCGCUGUCAGCCGCUCCUGGGACUGAGCAGCUCACCCAAGGGUGCCCAGUGACAUCGGGCAGGUACCCACAGCCGGUGUGUGCAGCUUACCUCCGAAACUUGUUUUGGCUUGGGAAUUUAUCCUUACGAUCAUAAAACUGGGGAUAAAGUCUUAUUUAUUCCCUAAUUUUUAUUCAAAUAAUAUUUUACUUAAAUAAGAUUUUCAGGACUUGAGGUCUGUCACUGAUUUUGCUUUAAGAAAACUCCAGAGGCACCGGCCCGCCAAGCAGGGGUGAAGGCAUGCCACGUCGCCUUGGGCUGGGGUUCCUUGAGUCUGAACUCCCCACGCCCCACCCCUGCACUAGUCUAAAGAGCUAACCUGGCGAUGGGGCCACACGGGCGGUGACAGAUGCUGGGGUCUUCCUGGGAGCAUGUGGACACUGAAACUGGCCACACGUGGCCGUGUGCCGUGCUCCGUAUGUCCACCUGUGGCCGACUUCUCUUCUUCCAGCCCUGCGGGCGGACAUUCCGGCACCAAAUGCGCCCAGCUCAAAGGAGGGCAGGUCCCCGCAGGACAAUCCCGCCCCCCACGUCACCGCGACAGGAAGCUAAUAACGGGCGCCCUGAGGUGCCUGUGUGAAGGAGGCGGCUUUCUGCCAGGCCCCUCGGGGAGGUCAUAGGGAUGCAUGAGCAAGUGAUGGGAACAGCCCGUUCGCCACGUGGAGGUCAGAGCCCGUUGGGGAGCUCCUUCCCUGUGCGUGUGAAAACCUGUGAGAAGACGCUGGUGGCAGCAGCUGUGGCUUCACAGAUUCCAGGACCAAGAGGGGCCGCAGGCUCCCGGGACGCUGGCAUUGGGGGCAGCUUCUACUUGGUCAUAAAACCAUCCCCUAGUACAGUCCAGAUCUUCCCCAAAUUAAUCUAAGCAAGUGUUCCAGGGACACAGUGAUUCCCCUGUGCAGGUUCCUGGUCUGCGCAAGACUGUGGCUGCUGUGCUCUCGGUUCUAAACACAGCUGUCCCCUCAAGAAUGGUCAUCACCUCCCCGCCACUCGCAGGGCGGGGUUCCUCACGUGCCUCUCCACCGUCUGGUGACUCAGCGGCUGAGCCUUCGCAGGUCCAGUCCGCUCUGCUCCCGCAACUGCAUUUCCAACUUUGGGCAGCAGCACUGAACACGUCAGAUCGUCACAGAACACGUUUUUGUAUUGAGGUGAAGUGACAGGAAUUAGGUGUGCCCUCUCACAUGGAGCAAGGUUUGCCAAACACUGGGCGUCAGGCAGCAAAGCCCAGGACCCUGAAGGGCAGGAUCCCCACCAAUCGCCUGGGCAGUGACCGAGCGCUGUGCAGGGAGGGUACCCAGGCAGAGCCUGGCAGUCGCCCCGGGUGAGCAAACAGAGAUGAGAGACUCUCUUUGUCUCUCCGGGAAAGAACUCACGGAACAGAGUCCCAAAGAGGAUAGGACCCAGAGAUCUGCAGAAGCCCCACAGCCCCGCGAGGGUACAGCUGGGUCCGGUCAGCACGCAGGUGGGGAGAGCUGUGAGGCUGGACGGGAGCCAAACCCUGCCCGGGGAUGCGCCCACGGUUACAGGGUAUGCCUGUGGCCGCUGAGCAGAAGGCUCCGCCUCCAGCGGCACAGGAACACGGAUAAGAACAGAGAAAACUUCAGCAUCCCAAAAGGUAAUGGUCCCUGGCACCCACCGAGAACCAUCACGGCGCCAAGAAACAGGAAAGUAAGACGCGUGUGACAAGCGAGCGGUCGUCUGGAACUGAGCCAGUCCUGCCCCAGCGCAUGAGCACCACAUAUAACUGCCUCCCACGGGGUCUGAGACAUGGGAGUCACAGCAGCACCCCAGAUGGAGUCUGUAAGGUUGUGAGCUCCAGCGUGUGAGAUGGAAAGUGCGCCACCUCUACGGCAGAUGAGCCACGAAUGGGGGAAACAGCAGAAAGUGUCCGGAGAGAAGCAGGGAACAGAGACCGAACAAUCAGCCAUCCGUGUCGGGGCCCACAGAAGGUCACCGUCCAGGACGGGCCUGACUCAGGCGAGCACCGCCCCCCCAGGGGGCGGGGAUAGGCUUGGGAGCCGGUUCUGCAGCCCCAGACCCAGGCCUCAUGCACAUGGGCCUCGAGGGGCCAGCACCAGACUGCUCAGGUUGGGGUGGGGCUGGGGGUUGGCUACAAAUCCUCCCCAUCUCCCCAAAAAGCCACCUGAAGCCCAAAAAUGUAAAAUUUACCAGGACUGACUUAAAGUUGCUUGCCAAUAAAAUUAAUUUCCAUUAUUUCCUAUAAUAUAA